rnacentral:rRNA from 1 species
UUCAGACGAUGCGUCAUGCAUAUCAAUAAGCGGAGGAAAAGAAACUAACAAGGAUUCCCCUAGUAACGGCGAGUGAAGCGGGAAGAGCUCAAGUUUGAAAUCUUAAAGGGUUUCCCUUUACGAAUUGUAGUUUAAAGAAGUGUUUUCUGUUGAGGUUUUGGUAAAAGUUCUUUGGAAUAGGACAUCAUAGAGGGUGAGAAUCCCGUAUUUGACCUUUACUUUCAACUUUGUGAUACACUUUCAAAGAGUCAGGAUUGUUUGGGAAUGCAGUCCAAAAUGGGUGGUAAAUUUCAUCUAAAGCUAAAUAUUGGCGAGAGACCGAUAGCGAACAAGUACCGUGAGGGAAAGAUGAAAAGAACUUUGAAAAGAGAGUUAAACAGUACGUGAAAUUGUCAAAAGGGAAGCGUUUGACACCAGUGUUGUUUUUCUGAAAAUCAAUUAAAGAACUGUUUAUGCUAAGCUGUUUAGACUUUAUCAGCUAUCUGUUUAGUUUUGAGCUUUUCUUUAAUGCACUUUUCAGUUAACAAGUCAACAUCAAUUUCUUUUGCUGUAAAAAAGCUUGAGGAAGGCGGCUUGAGAUUCGUCUUAAGUGUUUAUAGCCUCUUGCCUAUGCAGUCGGAGAGAUUGAGGUCUGCAGCGUAGAUCCUUCGGGGCUAAAUGCAUUUGUGCUAAGUUAUAGCAUUUUAUAGACAACUUGUUGACUAUGAUUUGUCUUGUAGCUUACUCGCUUAUGUUAUUUUACCUACGCUUAGGAUGUUGACACACGCGCGUGCUCG